GGCCAGCAUGGAGUAGUGGCUUAAGCAUUAGACUAUGCCUCUGAAGACCAGGGUUUGAUUCCCAGCUUGGCCA